GGCGGGUUGCCCGAGCGGCCAAUGGGAGCGGACUGUAAAUCCGUCGCGAAAGCUUCAGAGGUUCGAAUCCUCUACCCGCCAC
rnacentral:tRNA from 2 species